GCGGCGUGAUCGGGCAGGGCGGGACGCGGCACGUGUUUUGGUCGGAGCGAGGGGCGGGGCCUGAGGCCCUGGAAAGCCCCGAGAAAACGCCGCCCCCUCCGGGAAGUCCUCGAGCCUGCAGGAGACAUCUAGCCCGCUGUCCAGGGCACCUUUUUUUUUCUCCCUAUAUUUCGGUUGCUCGCGUCUCUUGGUGUGGUUUGCCCACGUCUGCAGCGCCAGGUUCGUGGAGAGCAGGAACCAUGCUGUUUAUUUUCGUCGCCGCAGCCUUCAGCUCAGCGAGGAGCCACCCCUCCUCCGUCUGUUCACUGCGCGCGCCUUUGCUGAGCUGUGAUGCGGGUUGGCGCUCAGUGCAAGGGGCAGAGGCCGCAGUGAGGAAUCCUCCUUUUUUAAAAGCUCCAUCCAGGGAGCGGGAGCAGAGAGAGAAUCCCGGCACCCCGGGGCUUUGCUCUGAGCGAGAGAAUUCUGGUCUUAGGGGAACGGGCUGGGCCCCACCACUCACAUGAGCAGGACUCUGGUCCCCACUUGUUCCUUCGGGGCCCACUCGGGUUGGGCAGAGGGGUUGAC
rnacentral:lncRNA from 1 species